AGGACGAACGCUGGCGGCGUGCUUAACACAUGCAAGUCGAACGGAAAGGCCCUUCGGGGUACUCGAGUGGCGAACGGGUGAGUAACACGUGGGUGAUCUGCCCUGCACUCUGGGAUAAGCCUGGGAAACUGGGUCUAAUACCGGAUAUACCUCAUGGACUGCAUGGUUUGUGGGGGAAAGCUUUUGCGGUGUGGGAUGGGCCCGCGGCCUAUCAGCUUGUUGGUGAGGUUAUGGCUCACCAAGGCGACGACGGGUAGCCGGCCUGAGAGGGUGACCGGCCACACUGGGACUGAGAUACGGCCCAGACUCCUACGGGAGGCAGCAGUGGGGAAUAUUGCACAAUGGGCGCAAGCCUGAUGCAGCGACGCCGCGUGAGGGAUGACGGCCUUCGGGUUGUAAACCUCUUUCAGCAGGGACGAAGCGCAAGUGACGGUACCUGUAGAAGAAGGACCGGCAACUACGUGCCAGCAGCCGC
rnacentral:rRNA from 1 species